UAACCUGCUAAAUAGUCAGGCUAGCUUUGGCUGGUCGCCGGCUUCUUAGAGGGACUAUCGGCUCAAGCCGAUGGAAGUUUGAGGCAAUAACAGGUCUGUAAUGCCCUUAGAUGUUCUGGGCCGCACGCGCGCUACACUGACCGGGCCAACGAGUUUCUUCCUUGACCGAAAGGUCUGGGUAAUCUUGGUAAACCCGGUCGUGCUGGGGAUAGAGCAUUGCAAUUAUUGCUCUUCAACGAGGAACUCCUAGUAAGCGCAAGUCAUCAGCUUGCGCUGAUUACGUCCCUGCCCUUUGUACACACCGCCCGUCGCU
rnacentral:rRNA from 1 species